CGUAUAGGGCGAUUGGAUUUAGCGGCCGAAAUUCGCCCUUGUGCCAGCCGCCGCGUAAUUCCAGCUCCAAUAGCGUAUAUUAAAGUUGUUGUGGUUAAAAAGCUCGUAGUUGAACCUUGGGCCUGGCUGGCCGGUCCGCCUCACCGCGUGCACUGGUCCGGCCGGGCCUUUCCCUCUGUGGAACCCCAUACCCUUCACUGGGCGUGGCGGGGAAACAGGACAUUUACUUUGAAAAAAUUAGAGUGCUCCAGGCAGGCCUAUGCUCGAAUACAUUAGCAUGGAAUAAUAAAAUAGGACGCGCGGUUCUAUUUUGUUGGUUUAUAGGACCGCCGUAAUGAUUAAUAGGGACAGUCGGGGGCAUCAGUAUUCAACUGUCAGAGGUGAAAUUCUUGGAUCAGUUGAAGACUAACUACUGCGAAAGCAUUUGCCAAGGAUGUUUUCAUUAAUCAGGAACGAAAGUUAGGGGAUCGAAGACGAUCAGAUACCGUCGUAGUCUUAACCAUAAACUAUGCCGACUAGGGAUCGGACGGUGUUAUUCAUGACCCGUUCGGCACCUUACGAGAAAUCAAAGUGCUUGGGCUCCAGGGGGAGUAUGGUCGCAAGGCUGAAACUUAAAGAAAUUGACGGAAGGGCACCACCAGGGGUGGAGCCUGCGGCUUAAUUUGACUCAACACGGGGAAACUCACCAGGUCCAGACACAAUAAGGAUUGACAGAUUGAGAGCUCUUUUCUUGAUUUUGUGGUGGUGGUGCAUGGCCGUUCUUAGUUGGUGGGGUGGACUUUGUCUGCUUAAUUGCGAUAACGAACGAGACCUUAAUCUUGCUAAAUAGCCCGCAUUGCUCCGGCAGUGCGCUUGACUUCUUAGGAGGGACUUUCGGCUCAAGCCGAAAGAAGUUUGAGGCAUU
rnacentral:rRNA from 1 species